rnacentral:lncRNA from 1 species
CACUGGAGGCACAGAACACUCACAUCCUCUCCAUAUGCUGGACAGUCUUCCCAGGCAGCUCACUUGAAAAGGAUGCCAUUGGCACUUCUGCAAAGUGGUCAUCCGAAAGCUUUCACUUUGCUGGUGAGGAGCACGUCCGGAACCUUGGUGGCCAGAAGAGAGUACAACAACAUCUUUAUAGGGUUGAAAGAAAAGAAGUAUCAACCAUGAAAAUACUCUCAGGAAUGAAGACAAAAUAAGGCCUUUGCAGAUGAAAGAAAACUAAGAAUUUAUCACCGUCAGACAUGUUUAAAAAAUUCUAAGGGAAGUUUUUCAGCCUGCAGAGAAUAAUAAGAGAAGGAAGCUUGGAACCUCAGGAAUGAAAUAAAAGCAUCUUAAAUGAUACUGUCAACCCAGAAGGCUAAACUCGUUUGGAGGAAGAAGACAGUGCAUAGGAUUCAACAGAAUUAGAAGGUGAAUGGAUAAAUAAACUGUGGUUCAUCCAGACAAUGGAAUAUUAUUCAGCACUGAAAAGAAAUGAGCUAUCACGCCAUGAAAAGACAUGGAAGAACCUUAAAUUCAUAUUACUAAGUGAAAGAAGCCAAUCUGAAAAGCAUACAUACUGUAUGAUUCCAACUAUGUGACAUUCUGGAAAAGGUAAAACCAUGGAUUUGGUAAAAAGAUUAGUGUUGACAGGAGUUAAGUGGGGAGGGGAGGGAUGAAUGGGUGGAGCACAGAGGAUUUUUAGGGCAAUGGAAAGACUCUGUAUGAUAUUGUAAUGAUGGAUGCAUACAUCAUUCUACAUUUAUCUAAACUCACAGAAUGUAGACCAAGAGUGAACUCUACUAUAAGCUAUGGACUCUGGGUGAUUAUGACACGUCACUGUAGGGUCACCAAUUGUUACAAACAUGCCACUGUGGUGGGGGAGGUUGAUAGUGAGAGAGGCUGUCCAUGUGAGGGGGUAGGGGGUAUACGGGAAAUCUCUGUACCUUCUCCUCAAUUUUGAUGUGAACCUGAAACUGUGCUA